GCUAUGGCCGAGUGGUUAAGGCGUGUGACUAGAACGCUGGCCGCGUAGAAGUGGCUCACCUUCUCUGCUAUCACAUGGGUACUUAUUAAUUGUUUCGAAUUGUUCACACAGUACUAAUAUCCUCUCAGGUUCGCCCGCACAGGUUCAAGUCCUGUUGGUGUCG